GCCGUCACUACAGGACAAGACGGUGACGCCGGAAGAGCGCGUCAAGAUACGGCAGUCCAAGGCGGAGGCGGCACAUUUCGGCCGCGCCACAGAGCGGGCCAAGCUAGCUUCGCGCUGGAGGCACGCCAAGGAGGAGAAGGCGGCUCGGGAGGCGGCGGCAAAGGCCAGGGCCAAGGGCUACCUGGGCAGGGCCAGCUCCUUCGCAGCUGCGCGCCAGGCAACACAGAAGGCGCUCAGCACGGUGGCCAGCGAACGCCGAUAGUGACGUCAUCAGCUGUAGGCUCACGACAAAUUCCCGAACAACAGCAAAUACAAGCCAGUCGUCUUUCGUUUUGUGACCAAGAAAUACGCUACCCUCCAUGUGUUUGAAGCAUUAGUAAUCUAUAAAUUUCGAAAUGAUUAAAAUUAUGCUGUAUUA